rnacentral:lncRNA from 1 species
ACGUCCAAUGUCUAGUGUUUCAUACAUGACGAGACUAGAUUUCGAAUCUCAUCAUCCCUGGUUAGGUUGAUGAGUCUCUCCAAGGCUGACCUUUGUGGAGGAGAACUGAGUGCACUUUCCCAUCUAGUAAGGUUGGUCAACCUGUUAAACAUGGAACCUCUAGAGAUCAGUGCACCUAGUGGAUUGAAGAUAGAAGUCUAGGCUUGACCAUAGAUGCAAUGAAACAUAGAAGUUCCCCCUUUUAAACCUUAAACUGUUCCUUGUGCGCCGACUGUGUCACCUUCGUGGCUGCUCUGGGGCGAGUUUACUUAGUGUUUGAUGUGAAAUUUAUGUUGACACACAAAUUAACCCUCUUUUUAUCAAUUGUAGCAAAGUAUGUAAGUAGGGAUCGUUCUAGACCGGGGAUUAGGAGGGAUUGCAAAAUCACUUGAAAACUUACUCAAAUACGUAAAACAAGUUUAAAACACUAAACUAGACUCAAAGAAUGCAAAACUAAACUUUAAAACACCAAAACAAACCAAAAGACUCAAAACAGCCCCAAAAACACUCAAAACUGCCUUAAAACCACAAUCUGGGCAGUUUUGAGCACUAGACACAAACUUGGACGAAAAUUGGUUUUCACUUGACCUAAGACACUUAAAAACACAAACUUAAGUGAUUUCUAACUACUAUGACUCAACCAAGUAAAGGGGGAUUGAUUUUGGACGAAUUUAACUUUUAAAACAAGAACUUUGAAAACAAACUUUAAUGAAAACGAUUUUGAUGAAAUAAAAUUGGGGAAAGGCUAGUUAGAGGGUUCCUUCUCCACACAUGAAACAUAUGCAUACGACUCAAUUUCCAAUUACUCUUUCAAUAAACCAUGAAUGACAAUGCCCCAAAUUAACUAGAUUGAC